rnacentral:tRNA from 2 species
CGCGGGAUAGAGCAGUCUGGUAGCUCGUUGGGCUCAUAACCCAAAGGUCGGUGGUUCAAAUCCAUCUUCCGCAACCA